CCUACGGGGGGCAGCAGUGGGGAAUAUUGGACAAUGGGCGAAAGCCUGAUCCAGCCAUGUCGCGUGUGUGAAGAAGGCCUUCGGGUUGUAAAGCACUUUCAGUGGGGAAGAAAGCCUUGGGGCUAAUACCCUCGAGGAAGGACAUCACCCACAGAAGAAGCACCGGCUAACUCCGUGCCAGCAGCCGCGGUAAUACGGAGGGUGCGAGCGUUAAUCGGAAUUACUGGGCGUAAAGCGCGCGUAGGCGGUCUGAUAAGCCGGUUGUGAAAGCCCCGGGCUCAACCUGGGAACGGCAUCCGGAACUGUCAGGCUAGAGUGCAGGAGAGGAAGGUAGAAUUCCCGGUGUAGCGGUGAAAUGCGUAGAGAUCGGGAGGAAUACCAGUGGCGAAGGCGGCCUUCUGGACUGACACUGACGCUGAGGUGCGAAAGCGUGGGUAGCAAACAGGAUUAGAUACCCCGGUAGUC
rnacentral:rRNA from 1 species